rfam:Salmo salar isolate Sally breed double haploid chromosome ssa06, whole genome shotgun sequence.
UGCACACAUGACUGUAAGUCGCUUUAGAUAAAAGAGUCUGUUAAAUGGCAUAUA